CCCAAAUUUGCGUCUAGGCCAAUUCAACCUGGGCAACAUUGAGCGUUACACUGGAAUCCAGAACUACACUUCAAAAGUGGUGACCACAGACUACAACCAGUUUGCCAUACUGUACUUCAAGAAAGUUCACGACAACCAGGAGUACAUCAAGGUCGUCCUCUAUGGGAGGACCAAGGAGGUGCCUUCUGUACCGAAGGCAAUCUUCAUCAGCUUCAUCAAAUCCCUGGGCCUCACUGACGACCACAUCAUCUUCCCUAUCCCCAAUGGUAAUCACCAGCUGGGCAGAGGAGAAAGGCACAUGGGGACUGUCCAGGCCUGAUGUUGCCUCACUAGGGAAGGGGGGAGAGGAGGGACCCAGGCCCCUGCUGUGGUCACUGGAGCCCCAGGAGCCACUUCAGUUUCGGGAAGAUGCUGCCACACCCAGGGUUCUGGUUCCCAAGUAUUCCUCCUUCACAAGAGCUCAGGCCUGCCCACAUGAGAAUUGCAGGCCUGGGGCCAAGUUAACUCAUUCUCCUGACCUGGCCACAUCCCCCUCCACCCAGGCCAGUUUUUCCUGGGUCACCUCCCCCUUUGCCCUGGGGCUGGCUCACUACGGACUUGGGAGGUGCCCUUGUCCUCAGGCAUCCUGGUCUGAGCAGGUCCCUCCCCAAGGCUGAGGGUGUGUCAGGACUCAGCAGGUAAACAGGCAGAAGGCUUGGUGCCCAAUCAGAACUGUGGCUGGGCCUCACCUGCCUCCUUUGGAGAAUGGGUGUCACCCAGGUCUGCUUGUCCUCAGGCCUCUCCUCCAGUCCCUGCCCCAUCAUCCAGCCCUCUGCUGUACCAUCUAUGAAAGGAGACCCAGAGCUUCUGUGGCUAGACUAGGCUGAGGCCCAGCGCAGCCCAGGGGCAGUGCAGGGGUCCUGGAGGUCAGGGACCCCACAAACACAUCCUUGCCCAUGCUGACCACUCUGU